GGGAGUGCAUGGGGACUGGUGUCUUCCCUGGGCUUCAAACCCACGUGGCGCGCGGCAACCCCGGGCGCGGUAGGUUCGAUUCCUACACACUCCCGCCA
rnacentral:tRNA from 1 species